rnacentral:rRNA from 1 species
CCCUUAGAUGUUCUGGGCAGCACGCGCGCUACAAUGGUCUUCGCAAACGGAUGCAUUCUCGAAGGAGAAUGCCAAUCUUGGAAUCUAUGCCUUGGUCGGGACAGUUGCUUGCAAUUUUUCGACUCGAACCAGGAAUUCCUUGUAAUCGUGAUUCAUCACGUCACGAUGAAUACGUCCCUGCCCUUUGUACACACCACCCGUCGCUCCUACCGAUCGAAGAGUUAGGUGAAUUGUUUUGAUCGAUAAGAUUUGACUAUGGUCAACUCUCGUUGUGAAAUUCUGUGAAUCUGACUGUUUAGAGGAAGGAAAAGUCGUAACA